GUGCUGAACUCCUAUUUUCAGAUUUAUUGGCAAGUUAGUAGGUCGUUACUAUGACAGCCAUGGAAACCCAACAAAAUAUUUGAAAGGAGUUGAAGUGAAGGCUGCGAGAGGUGCACAGCUUUUGGAGAAACAGAAGAUUGAAGAAGCCAAACAACUCAGUUGCAAUUCGAGGUGGAGCCAGGACAGUGGAGGAGAGGUUUGGUGCGAUGUUGGCGUCCCAAGGUUAGUCCAGAGGCCACUGGAAAUUGCUUUGACUGGGAAGAUGAGUAAGCGCUGUGUUUGCUUUAAAGAGGAUCAACUGGACCAGCCAGGGCUGGAAGUUUAUGAUGGAUGUGACUUCCUUGCCAUGACUUGCCGAGUUUAAGUUAGGUUGUAAUGGUUUUACUAGCAGAGAUAAGGUUAAAUCUUUUCCUGAAUCUAUAAACAAGUCUUUCAUAGUUUUUUUUUUUUUUUUUUUUUUAAUAAAAAAAAAAGAAGGUAAAAAAUAUCAAAGACAUAAUAACACAAGAUUACAUCCUUAGGACAAUUUGUGACUACAUGAGCUCUACCUUUAAUUUUUUUCUUUAAAGCCA